rnacentral:rRNA from 1 species
UGGGGAAUAUUGCACAAUGGGCGAAAGCCUGAUGCAGCGACGUCGCGUGAGGGAAGAAGUUUUUCGGAAUGUAAACCUCUGUCCUAUGUGAAGAUAAUGACGGUAGCAUAGGAGGAAGCCAUGGCUAACUACGUGCCAGCAGCCGCGGUAAUACGUAGAUGGCGAGCGUUAUCCGGAAUGACUGGGCGUAAAGGGUGCGUAGGCGGUUUUAUAAGUCAGAUGUGAAAAUCCCGGGCUUAACUUGGGAACUGCAUUUGAAACUAUAGAACUUGAGUGCAGGAGAGGAAAGCGGAAUUCCUAGUGUAGCGGUGAAAUGCGUAGAUAUUAGGAGGAACACCAGUGGCGAAGGCGGCUUUCUGGACUGUAACUGACGCUGAGGCACGAAAGCAUGGGGAGCAAACAGG